CCAUCCCCGAAGGCGUCGCGCAGGGCGGGGCACUGUGGCGCCACCUGCCGGCGGUGCGCGGAGCAGUUUGCGGUGAAAGCGCUGUGCGGGCGCGCAGAGAGGCGUGCCUGUGCUCAGGCGGAGCGCUUCAUUUGAAAAUUAAAAGCUGCGGAGGCUUCUGCUGCUGCUCCUGGUAGGCCCUGGGGAGUAGCUGCCCUGAAGAAGGACUUUCUGAGGCUCGCUCCAGCCACAGGCACAGCCUCGCCCAUGUGCGUGGCCCCUGGGGCCUGGUCUGGCCCGGAGAGAGACCCUCUGCGGGGUAAGUCAGGGUGACAGAACAACUGUGGAUCACUUCAGCUCAGCUUUCAGUGGAAUAACUUUUCUGAGGUUUAUCUUCAACUUUACAAAGCUGAGGCCAAGAGCAGGAGAGCAGUGAGCCCUUGUGCUUUCACAGCCCUUGGAGACCUCAGUGCUAAGGCAGAGCCUGUACGCCUUCAUGCACGACCUGUGCUUUAUGGCUGCUACACUUCUCUCAGUUCCCCUGCACUGUAAUCAAGGACUGAUGUUAAACCAAAGCCUCCUGGCUCCAGGAAGUUCAACAGGAAGGGCUUCAGGGCAAAAGAAGGCAGAACUGCCACAAGAAAACUCCUCUGGAAAACAGAGAGCGCUGCAAGCUUGGCAGCCACAGCAAGAAACAGCCCUGGUUAAGUGAGGGAGAGAGGGUGCUGGAGGUUUCGUAUUUCUUUAUUAAGUAUGGAGAGGAUUUGUUUUACGUCCAGCUUCCACUGCAUUUACAUGGAACGUCUGACAGCUCUGGGGAAUCGAUGGGAGCUAAAGCACCAAUAAAAGUGCAAACCAACUUCUGAGAUGAAUACAAGCUGAGUUAUCUUUUGGAGCCAGCUUUAUUUGUAGUAACAAAAAGGAUGUUAUGAAAUUAGAUUUACUGGUUAAAAAUAUUUUAAGAAAAUAUAAAAUGCACCAGAAAGCUAAGGGAACUAAAACCUCAGCAUCUUUUAGCUGGGCCUAUAUAACAGUUCCCACCAUGGUAACAGAGAAUCUAUUUUAAUGCAUAGAAGAAAAUGAAUAACAAUGAGAAUGCUGUAAGAAUAUGAACAAAAAAAAAAAAAAAAAAGCAAUUAGGGAAUAAGGAAUUAGAAGAAAAAGCACGUAGAAAUGAGCAACAAAGGACAAAGCAUUAUACCCUCAGAUUUAUAUUAAUUACACAGAUAGACAGAAAUCCAGCAGUGAGGGAAACGGAUUGGAAGCUCACUUUCUAUGUUUCAGUAAUCAAUAAAUAAUAGAGCAUUAAGUCACAACAGAUGUGCACCAAUACAGUUCUUAAGGAGUUGGGCUCCUCCAGGCAACUGAGACUUGCACCGGUCAUGGCCAAGCACAGUCCUGGCCCUGUUUUGUGCAAGCUGAACAAAAAUGGCUUUUUUAAAAUGUGGCUGCAGAUCUCUUCUUUCCCCAAACCUAAACAACAAAAGUAACAAACUUUUGUUGGUUGUUAAAACAACAACAAAAAAAUGCUCAUACAAUGUUCUUGGUUCUUUUGUACAUCUCUAUGGUAAUAUUUUUUACUGCUUUUCAACCUUCUCUACCCUUAGAAACUCAGUUUCCCUUCCAGAAAAGCAUAGGCAAUUCUAGCAGAUUCUUCAAGUGAGCUAUUGAUCAAGCUCUGUUGUAUUUUUUUCUUUCUGAAAAUGUCUGGAUAAACUUAUGGAAAAGAAACCCACCAGCAGUUAGGAAAGAUAUAUUUAUUUUUAAAAUGUUAUUAUGCAUAUAAUAGAUAGAACUUCCCUCUCAGGAAGUCUCCGAGGGGGAAAUAGCCAGAAGGUGAGAAGUAUCCUUUAUGUUUGCCCUGUUCUUACAUUCUCUCCUAGGCAUCUGCUGGUAAACAUUGGUGGAGACACGACAGUGACCCAGAUGGACCUCAGGUGUACCUGAAAACAAGGAACAAGCAGUGUGCUUUGUCCCUGUAUGUUUGAAGGACCUCGGUCUCCUGAGCAAGGACUUGUACAGAUUUCAGGAAUAUUUGCAAGUGUGUACAGUCGUAUUUCCACUAGGUUUUACAGGGGACUGUAGGUUGAUUCUGCUGUUUGUUGUUUGCUUUUGUUGUAGUUUUCCCCCAGAAAUGUAUCAGUCAGGGCUCUCUGUUUCCUUCCAUAGUCUGAACCAUCAGUGGGUACUGAUCUACACUAGUUAUUCAAAAGUAUCAGAUUCUGAACACGCUACUGUGUCUCCCUUGUAAAAUUACUUCCUAAAUGAAAAACAGACCCAGAUUUAGCCUGGAAGUAUCUUCCCAGGCAGCCACAAUCUGAAGAAUACUUAUCAGAUUCUUCUUGUCCUAAUUUUAUUUACUAUAUUUAUGUAUCUUAGGUAGGUAAAUACACCUACCUACGAGCUACUUUUUUGCCUUCACCUCACACCAUAACAUUUGAGUUCUUGACACCAGCCCAGUGAAGAUGGAAAAUCUCAUUUUACAGACUGGAGUCUGAAAGAGCAAGACCAAGACACUGGAGUCAGAGGCCUUAAGCAGGGAUUAGGCAGGGAUUGUGCACCUGGGAUAUGGCAACCCUGGAUACAUGUACAGACUGGGGGACAAGAAGGUGGAGAACAGCUCUGCAGAAAGGGAAUAGGGGGAUCUGGCUGACAUCAAGUUGAAUGUGAGUCAGCAGUGUGCUCUGGCAGGCAAAAGGGCCAACUGUGCCCUGGGGUGCAUCAGGCACAGCACAGGCACAGGGGCACACAAGUGCAGUGUGCAGGUUUGGGUGCCACAACAUAAAGAGGACGCAAAACUAUUAGAGAGUGCCCAAAAGAGGGCUGUAAAGAUGGUGAAGGGUCUGGAGAGCAAGGGGUAUGAGGAGUAGCUGAGGCCCCCUGGUUUGCUCAGCCCAGAGUAGAGGAGGCUGAUGGGAGGCCUCAUGGCGGCUGCAGGGACCUCACAGAUCAAGGUAAUUCAGCUUUGGCUGACUGCUACUGUCGCUGGGUAACUGCAGGCAUCUACACUAUUCUUAGCACUUCAGCAAUUCUGUUCAAGGUCAAUCCAGUGCAUUUGCAUUGCACACAGUGUAGUGGGGGCAUAUGCUUCAAAAGUGGGUCAUAGCAAGAUGAUGAAAGCUAAAUCAAACCACAGUUAUGCUUAUAUCUAAUCUGUUGAGCUAAGACUCUCAGUGCACUUUGAAUAUUUUAGCUCUAAUAGGCAUUCAAGUAUAAUAGCGAAGACUAAUACAAAAAGAUUUGUGCAGGUGUUUCUGUUUGAGCAGAGGGUUGGACUAGAUGACCUCCAGAGGUUCCUUCCAACCUCAGUCAUUCUGUGGUUCCAUGCUCUGUGUAGUCCCGGAGCAGCUAUCCUUAGGGAAAACUUUAAGAAAUCAUUAAAUCAAGCUAUUAACAAA